UUCAUUCGCGUUUCGUUGUGAGCGACAAGCGGUGCGUGUUUGACGAAAUGGUGUGGUAACACACUGUUUUGCGCCCUUCGUUUGUCGAUCUUGCAGCGAACGCGUGCACUUUUCUUCCGGUAGGACGUCGCGAUCCGUUGAGUGUCGAUUUAUGAAUGUUGCGAUGGAGCCCGUUUGUCACAACGUUUUCGGACGUUGUCUUGUACUUACGAACUCGUGCAUUCCAAUCGACUCGCUCGACGGUAUAAUAGAUUACGGUUUUGAGCCGCUCCUCAGCGAGCGUUCGACUCGUGGCAAGCGCGCUAGUGUUUGUUUGGUCAUCGGACCUGGUGCCGAUUCCAAUCCCUAGUGACUGUUGGCUGCGAUGUUUCUCGAACAGACUCAUAAAACCGAUCUGCGACGCUAUAGCUUUGGGUAAUUUCAGGACCCGUCUUGAAACACGGACCAAGGAGUCUAGCAUGUACGCAAGUCAUUGGGAAUUAUUAAACCUAAAGGCGUAAUGAAAGUGAAGAUCUUUCCUAGCGAAAGAUCGAGGGAAGAUAAGAAAUUCUUAACAGAAUUUUUUCGCAUUCCCGGAGCGUCUCAUUCUCAUUGCGAGAGGAGGCGCACCAAGAGCGUACACGCUGGGACCCGAAAGAUGGUGAACUAUGCCUG
rnacentral:rRNA from 1 species